CUUAGCCAUUCUGGCCACAUGACCCGGAAGCUGUACGCCGGCUCCCUCGGCCAAUAAAGUGAGAUGAGCGCCGCAACCCCAGAGUCGGUCACGACUGGACCUAAUGGUCAGGGGUCCCUUUACCUUUACCUACACGGGCUGCAGGAAAUGGAGGGGAUGUAAACAGAUUUGUUGGGAUUUGUGCAAAUGUUCAAAACCGCAGAGAUGUUCCCUUCAGUGUCAUCAUUCACUGCAGUAUAUCUGAGGGUUUAAACAAGAUAUUAAGUGUACAAUUUAUUGAGUGCACAUUAUUCUGGGGGGGGGAAUAGCCAGUGUGGGUGCUGCAAUCCAGUUUGGUGGGGAAAAGGGGGGCUUUAGCCCUUUCCAGGUUUGAUCCCCAACUCUUCACGCUUGCAAUUUGCAUUGCGGAGGGCAGUAGCAGCCCAUGUGGUAACUCCCAGUCCAAGUCAACAAUGACCAUUAAUCAAGGUUGAUGGAAGUUGUAGUCUGGCAAGAUCUGGAUGGCAGCACUUUGGCUACCCCUACAUAAGAGUGAUUGAGAGAUCCCACCCCCCUCCAAAAAAUAUUCCAGAUCCAAAACUGUAUCAUGCAGGGAGCACCUCAUUCAAGAGUAAACAACUUGAUUUACAUUGCAUGCUGUUUGGCAUUGAAAAGAAGGUAAACCAAAUGUGUGUCUGUUUUCAGGUAUAUUCACAAGAUUCAUCUGAGGUUGUUGGCAUUCACACCAAACAGAUGUGUGGGUGUGCACACAUGCAUGUGCAUGAUGCCCGAGGUCAUGGUGGCUGGGCAGCAAUGAGGGUGGACUUUAGACCUCUAGAGUCAGCUGACCAUGAGGAUGGAGUUUUCAGAAUGAGAAAAAGGCGAAAGAUUUAUACGAUCUGAGGAGAAGCCAGAGUAUUUUAAGGUAUUUUAUGGUAAGAUAAGGCUAAAUAAAUUAAGGUAAAUUGAACAACAGAAUAUGGUGAAAGAUGGAAAGGAUCUGCUGAGUUAAUAGGUUAGACUGUUAAGAUAAAUUAUAUAAUAAAAAUUGAGAAAGAUGGAAAGAAUUUGCUGAAACAACUAAUUAAGCUAGAAUACAAAAAUGGAGGUGUGAGGAGGUCAAUGAAACAAGCAAAUGAAAGGUAAAGAUAUGUAAUAUGGGAUUUGUAUCUUUUUCUUUUUGUUGUUGUGUCGUAUUGGUUUUUUAUGUAUUUUUCCCCUUCUUUUUAUGUAUUGUAGUGUUGUUUCUUCUUCUUUUUUUCUCCUUUCUUUUUGUAACUUUGAAACUCUUAAUAAUUUUUU
rnacentral:lncRNA from 1 species